CUUUCGCCUUGCGGGCAGUGCCCCCUGGGCCGCGGCGGCGUGGGAAGCCGUCCUCGGCAAGAAUAAAAUGAAGCGGUUUUAUCCGUAGCCGGUCCGAGAAAUGUCAGGCGGGCCUCGCGGAGUCGUCGUGAAGCUCGGGCAGCCGAUGGCCAUUGGCUGAUUUCAAAAUAACGUGCGAGGCUUCGGCACUUUGCCGCCGAGAUGUUCAGUCCAGAAGUUGUUUUGUUGUUAAACGAGCUGACAGUAAGCCUGUUUUCUUAUUAAGGGCCAAAAGCGUAAUUCCUGGUAACUGAGGAGAUGUGACGCGGGGCCUCUGAGCGCACGCACUGCACCCACAGCGGUGGGAUGUUUUCAGGUGGCGAAGCUUCCUCCUAAUAAUGGAGCCUGCCCCAGGGCUGGCUGCUGCGAUGCUGACUGGCUCACACCAGGGAUUAAUUGGAGCCGUUUUCCUUUCCCUCUUAAAAAUGGAAGGUCAAAAAUAAACACGGCAUGCCUACACAUCUGGUGAUCGAGAGAUUUAAUUUGAGAGGCCGGAGCUUUGUUCUCCACAACUGCGUGUGACCCGACUUCCAGCUUCUUUGGUUCUCAGCAUGAUUCUGGGCUGUGCCCAUCUGAGCAGCAAAGCCAUUAACCCUUUGGGACUGCGCCAUCUAAUUCAGAAAGUGUGUUCCUGUGAUUAAUUCAUGCAAAUAAGCUGAAGCCCCCUUGCUGCUUUUUCUAACACUGUUACCUGACGCUAAGGUGUUAAGAUUUGAUCAGAUAGCAAAUGCAUCUUGGAGCUGAUGUGUGAAAAAUGCUGUCUUUUCAGGCAGAGCCUAGGAAAGGUUGGACGAGCUGCUCUCCUUGUGUUCUGGAAAUCAGCUUUCUCUGUCAUUGAACCCAGUGACAGAAGUCCUAUGCACUCCUGUGGGAGCCUGUGUAAGGAUGCAUAUAUGCAAUGGGAGGGUAUAUGUUAUUAUGAACUGCAGAGGAAAUGCAAUUGGAAAACUGUGUGUGUUGUGGUUCUUCCUAACGCAGUGGGAAAAUGCCUGUGUCACAGGAGAACUUGCCCAGUCCUGUACAUAAUGCUGAUGUUCCACAAACAGCUUUGA
rnacentral:lncRNA from 1 species